UACGUAGGGUGCAAGCGUUUGUCCGGAAUUAUUGGGCGUAAAGAGCUCGUAGGCGGUUUGUCGCGUCUGCUGUGAAAACGCGAGGCUCAACCUCGCGCCUGCAGUGGGUACGGGCAGACUAGAGUGCGGUAGGGGAGAUUGGAAUUCCUGGUGUAGCGGUGGAAUGCGCAGAGUAUCAGGAGGAACACCGAUGGCGAAGGCAGAUCUCUGGGCCGUUACUGACGCUGAGGAGCGAAAGCGUGGGGAGCGAACAGG
rnacentral:rRNA from 1 species